rnacentral:rRNA from 1 species
CCGACGGUGAGAGAUGAAAGCUGGGGGCACGAACCGGAUUGGAUACCCGGGUAGUCCCAGCCGUAAACGAUGCUCGCUAGGUGUCUGGGAUGGUGCGACCGUUUCAGGUGCCGCAGGGAAGCCGUGAAGCGAGCCACCUGGGAAGUACGGCCGCAAGGCUGAAACUUAAAGGAAUUGGCGGGGGAGCACUACAACGGGUGGAGCCUGCGGUUUAAUUGGACUCAACGCCGGAAAACUCACCUGGGGC